rnacentral:rRNA from 1 species
UACAGAGGUCCCAAGCGGUGUUCGGAUUCACUGGGCGUAAAGGGUGCGUAGGCGGUGAGGUAAGUCUGACGUGAAAUCUCCGGGCUCAACCCGGAAACUGCGUUGGAUACUAUCUCGCUAGAGGAAUGGAGGGGAGACUGGAAUACUUGGUGUAGCAGUGAAAUGCGUAGAUAUCAAGUGGAACACCAGUGGCGAAGGCGAGUCUCUGGACAUUUCCUGACGCUGAGGCACGAAAGCCAGGGGAGCAAACGGG